AGUUGUUCAAACACCAUUUUAGAGGAAUAUGGCUGUCUUCUGGGUUGAAGCGCCGUGUAUUCUGGUAAAAGUCUACUGACGUUUCAGAGCUGCUUGUUGCUCAGUCGUCAGGGCGACGGGGAGGGAACAAGGACAUGUGAAAUGUCGUCAACCCAGACGACAGCCAUCUUAGUUUUCGUAUCAAUUAGACCUUGGCCUAUUAACGGAGGCUGAAUGUUCUUGCUGGUGUGUACGCUUUCGCGAAACGGAUCAAGGUGACAGAAGACUGACAUCGUUAAGUGUUCGUCGCCAUUCCUCGAGUGUUUGAAUUGAAUUCAGAUCCAAGGACAGCCAAAUGGCCUCUGAUGAGCAGUCCGCUCCCAACGUUAGCAAUAUGUCUGACCUAUGUCUAUCUCGUAAAAGUUUUGGGUCCUAGAAUAAUGGAGAAUAAGAAACCUAUGGAACUGAGGAAUGUGCUGAUUUAUUACAAUUUUUUUCAAGUUUUAUUCAGCUUAUGGCUUUUUUGUGAGGUGAGCAACGUCACACUUGAAGUUUUCUGUGCCUUCUCUCGUCUUACUCAUGUUUAAAAGGUGUUACCAUCUUAUGUACGCGAUUAACUUUCAGACAUUCUUAAUUUUGUGUAAUGAAAUAUUAUGUCAGCGCUCUCACGACUUUUUAUAAAGCAGAAUAGAAAUGCACCUA